rnacentral:rRNA from 1 species
UACGUAGGUGACAAGCGUUAUCCGGAUUUAUUGGGCGUAAAGCGCACGCAGGCGGCUCUUCAAGUCUGACGUGAAAUCUCUCGGCUUAACCGGGAGCGGUCGUUGGAAACUGAAGGGCUUGAGGCGAUGAGAGGGGUGUGGAAUUCCCGGUGUAGUGGUGGAAUGCGUAGAUAUCGGGAGGAACAUCAGUGGCGAAAGCGGCUCUCUGGAACGGUACUGACGCUGAGGCGCGAAAGCGUGGGGAGCGAACAGG